rfam:Camelus ferus unplaced genomic scaffold scaffold324, whole genome shotgun sequence.
GAGGGUGUAGCUCAAGUGGUAGACUGCGUGCUUAGCAUGCACAAGGUCCUGGGUUCAAUCCCCAGUACCUCCU